rnacentral:rRNA from 1 species
UGAAGACGUUAAGAUGGACCCUAGAGUGGUCCCGAUUGCACAAAGGCUUGGUCCUGACUUUACUGUCAGCUCUUGCUAAAUUUACACAUGCAAGUAUCCGCACCCCCGUGAGAAUGCCCUACAGUUUUCUGUUUGAAGACAAGGAGCCGGUAUCAGGCACAGUCAACGCUAGCCCACGACACCUUGCUUAGCCACACCCCCAAGGGAUUUCAGCAGUGAUAAACAUUAAGCCAUAAGUGCAAGCUUGACUUAAUUAAGGCAAAGAGAGCCGGUAAAACUCGUGCCAGCCACCGCGGUUAUACGAGAGGCUCAAGUUGACAGACACCGGCGUAAAGAGUGGUUAAGGAAAUUUUUAGAUUAAAGCCGAACGCCUACAAGACUGUCAUACGUUCUUCGAAGGUAUGAAGCCCCACCACGAAAGUGGCUUUAUCCCCCCUGACCCCACGAAAGCUGAGAAACA